rnacentral:ncRNA from 1 species
ACGAUCCCGAUGGGAGAGACCCCGCCGUAGGCGGGGCGCCGAAGGGGAAACUCCUCCCGGAAGCUCUCAGGCAAAAGGACCAUCGGGGGAUG